rnacentral:rRNA from 1 species
AUUGAACGCUGGCGGCAUGCCUUACACAUGCAAGUCGAACGGCAGCACGGGAGCAAUCCUGGUGGCGAGUGGCGAACGGGUGAGUAAUAUAUCGGAACGUGCCCAGUCGUGGGGAUAACGUAGCGAAAGCUACGCUAAUACCGCAUACGAUCUAUGGAUGAAAGCGGGGGAUCGCAAGACCUCGCGCGAUUGGAGCGGCCGAUAUCAGAUUAGGUAGUUGGUGGGGUAAAGGCUCACCAAGCCAACGAUCUGUAGCUGGUCUGAGAGGACGACCAGCCACACUGGGACUGAGACACGGCCCAGACUCCUACGGGAGGCAGCAGUGGGGAAUUUUUGGACAAUGGGCGCAAGCCUGAUCCAGCAAUNCCGCGUGCAGGAUGAA